UACGGAGGGUGCAAGCGUUAAUCGGAAUUACUGGGCGUAAAGCGUGCGCAGGCGGUUUGUUAAGUCUGCUGUGAAAUCCCCGAGCUCAACUUGGGAAUUGCAGUGGAUACUGGCGGGCUGGAGUAUGGUAGAGGAAGGUGGAAUUCCCGGUGUAGCAGUGAAAUGCGUAGAGAUCGGGAGGAACACCAGUGGCGAAGGCGGCCUUCUGGACCAAUACUGACGCUGAGGUGCGAAAGCGUGGGGAGCAAACAGG
rnacentral:rRNA from 1 species